AGUCGAGUGCGCGGUUGUAGCAAUACAACUGGCGCACGGCGCACGGGUGCGUAACACGUGGGUAACCUGCCCUUUGGUGGGGAAUAACUCCGCGAAAGCGGAGCUAAUUCCGCAUAAGAUCCGCAAGGAUGAAAGCAGCAAUGCGCCGAAGGAGGGGCCCGCGCCCGAUUAGCUAGUUGGUGAGGUAAUGGCUCACCAAGGCAUUGAUCGGUAGCUGGUCUGAGAGGAUGAUCAGCCACACUGGAACUGAGACACGGUCCAGACUCCUACGGGAGGCAGCAGUGGGGAAUCUUGCACAAUGGGCGAAAGCCUGAUGCAGCGACGCCGCGUGGGGGAUGAAGCAUUUCGGUGUGUAAACCCCUUUCGAUCCGGACGAAACCCCGCAAGGGAUUGACGGUACGGAUAUAAGAAGCCCCGGCUAACUACGUGCCAGCAGCCGCGGUAAGACGUAGGGGGCCAGCGUUGUUCGGAAUUACUGGGUGUAAAGGGUUCGUAGGCGGUGCGGCAAGUUGGGAGUGAAAUCUCUGGGCUUAACCCAGAGGCUGCUUCCAAAACUGCUGUGCUUGAGUGUGGGAGAGGCGCGUGGAAUUGCAGGUGUAGCGGUGAAAUGCGUANAUAUCUGCAGGAACACCCGUGGCGAAAGCGGCGCGCUGGACCACUACUGACGCUGAGGAACGAAAGCUAGGGGAGCAAACAGGAUUAGAUACCCUGGUAGUCCUAGCCCUAAACGAUCAGGACUUGGGGUGCCACCCGUUCGGGUGUCGUCCCGGAGCUAACGCGUUAAGUCCUGCACCUGGGGAGUACGGUCGCAAGACUGAAACUC
rnacentral:rRNA from 1 species